rnacentral:rRNA from 2 species
UGCCCGGUAGCUAAAUGCGGAAGAGAUAAGUGCUGAAAGCAUCUAAGCACGAAACUUGCCCCGAGAUGAGUUCUCCCUGAGACUUUAAGUCUCCUGAAGGAACGUUGAAGACGACGACGUUGAUAGGCCGGGUGUGUAAGCGCAGCGAUGCGUUGAGCUAACCGGUACUAAUGAACCGUGAGGCUUAACCUUACAACGCCGAAGCUGUU